rnacentral:lncRNA from 1 species
AGAGUGGUAUUGAAUUCCAGACCUGGAAAAAAUGGUCAUCCGGUGGCAGAAAAUUUCCAAGUAGAAGAAGUAAACUUACCAGAUUGUGUCAAUGAAAGACAAGUACAAGUCAGAACUCUUUAUCUUUCCAUGGAUCCUUACAUGCGUUGUAGAAUGAAUGAAGACACUGGCAGUGACUAUAUAACACCUUGGCAGCUGUCUCAGGUGGUUGAUGCUGGAGGUGUUGGGAUUAUAGAAGAAAGAAAACACAAAUUUUACAAAAGGCGAUUUUGUGACUUCCUUCUAUUGGCCCUGGCAAACCACGGUUAUUCUGGAUGGAAAUAUCCUUGAAAAGGUAGACCCACAACUUGUGGAUGGACACCUUUCAUACUUUCUUGAAGCUAUAGGGAUGCCUGGUUUGACUUACUUGAUUGGGGUACAGGAAAAAAGUCAUAUAACUGCUGGAUCUAAUCAAACAAUGGUUGUUAGUGGGGCUGCUGGUGCUUGUGGAUCCUUGGCUGGGCAGAUUGGCCGUUUGCUGGGCUGUUCCAAAGUCGUGGGAAUUUGUGGAACACCUGAGAAGUGCCUCUUUUUGACCUCAGAAUUGGGCUUCAAUGCUGCAAUUAAUUAUAAAGAGGGGAAUGUUGCAGAACAACUCCAUAAAUUAUGCCCAGCUGGAGUGGAUGUUUACUUGAACAAUGUUGGCGGUGACAUCAGUGAUACAGUGAUAAGUCAGAUGAAUCAGAACAGCCACAUCAUCCUCUGUGGUCAAAUUUCUCAGUACAACAAAGAUGUGCCUUAUCCUCCACUACACCCUGCUAUAGAAGCAAUCCAGAAAGAAAGAAACAUCACAAGAGAAAGAUUUCUGGUGUUAAAUUAUAAGGAUAAAUUUGAGUUUGGUAUUCUCCAACUGAGCCAAUGGUUUAAAGAAGGAAAGCUAAAGAUCAAAGAGACUAGAAUAAAUGGAUUGGAAAACAUGGGAGCUGCAUUCCAGUCCAUGAUGACAGGAGGUAACAUUGGAAAGCAGAUAGUUUGCAUUUCAGGAGAUACCUCUUUGUAA